rnacentral:rRNA from 1 species
CCCUUAGGUGUUCUGGGCUGCACGCGUGCUACAAUGGCGUUUCCAGCAAGUCUGCGAACCCGAGAGGGCCAGCGGAUCUUCGAAUUGGCGUCGUGAUCGGGACAGUCGAUUGCAAUUAUUUGACUCAAACGAGGAAUUCCUUGUAAUCGCGAUUCAUCAUAUCGCGCUGAAUACGUCCCUGCCCUUUGUACACACCGCCCGUCGCUCCUACCGAUUGAGCGAUCCGGUAAAUGUUUUGGAUUGGUGCCGGGGCGGCUAGCUGCCGGUCGCUACGAAAUUUUGUGAACCUUAUCGCUUAGAGGAAGGAAAAGUCGUAACA